rnacentral:piRNA from 1 species
UCGCUUGUGCCUGAAGAUGUUUCUUAUC